GGGUCCUACGGGACGCAGCAGUGGGGAAUAUUGGACAAUGGGGGGAACCCUGAUCCAGCGGCGCCGCGUGAGUGAAGAAGUAUUUCGGUAUGUAAAGCUCUCUCAGCAGGGAAGAAAGAAAUGACGGUACCUGACUAAGAAGCCCCGGCUAACUACGUACCAGCAGCCGCGGUAAUACGUAGGGGGCAAGCGUUAUCCGGAUUUACUGGGUGUAAAGGGAGCGUAGACGGCGACGCAAGUCUGAAGUGAAAGGCGGGGGCCCAACCCCCGGACUGCUUUGGAAACUGUAUAGCUGGAGUGCAGGG
rnacentral:rRNA from 1 species